AAAAACUAAACGGGCGGUUAGAACCAAACAGCCACACAUCAGCCCCAACUACCGUUUCUUACGCAGAUGGCUAUGCGAAUCCAUGUCAAGACGAACCGCAGCCCUAAUCUCCUCAAUCUCGUGCGGCCACCACCCUUCCGAACGUUGUUGGUUAGCCAUUAAAUCGGCCGCCUUGUUUCCUUCUCUAAAGAUGUGAGAAACCUGCAGCGAGAAAUCAUCUAACAUCUUUAAAAUCCU
rnacentral:lncRNA from 1 species